rnacentral:rRNA from 1 species
AUUGAACGCUGGCGGCAUGCCUUACACAUGCAAGUCGAACGGUAGCGCGGGGCAACCUGGCGACGAGUGGCGAACGGGUGAGUAAAGCAUCGGAACGUGCCCUGGAAUGGGGGAUAACGUAGCGAAAGUUACGCUAAUACCGCAUAUUCUGUGAGCAGGAAAGCAGGGGAUCGCAAGACCUUGCGUUCUGGGAGCGGCCGAUGUCGGAUUAGCUAGUUGGUGGGGUAAAGCCUACCAAGGCGACGAUCCGUAGCGGGUCUGAGAGGAUGAUCCGCCACACUGGGACUGAGACACGGCCCAGACUCCUACGGGAGGCAGCAGUGGGGAAUUUUGGACAAUGGGCGGAAGCCUGAUCCAGCCAUGCCGCGUGAGUGAAGAAGGCCU